UUGUGUUUCUACGGAUACAUCAAUUCUUCACAAAUUAGAUGUGCUUUCUUUAUAUCUAAAUCUCUAUGACAUUAAAAAGAAAGUCCUUCGUUCUCAUGCUGCUGAUGUAUAGAAGAGAAUGUUUCUAAGAGGCAGGAAAGAUCUCAGCAGUGAUGUUUUCAAGCAUAACCAACCACACAGUGGUGGUGACUCUACUCUGAGCUGCACAUUCUUCACAUUUAUUCCAGAGAGCCUCACAAAACAUUGGUGGAGACAAGAUGUCAUUCACAAUUGAAGUGUGCAAGGUUCAGAGAACCUGAGAUGAACUUGUGCAGCAUGAUAUGAAUAUUUCAGACUCCUCAACCUUCAAACAGUCGUACAUAGAACUUACACUGGACAAAAUUAAAACAAGAGAGAAAUGGACCUCAGCAAGGCCAGGAAGUGCCUCUCCUCCAUGCAAGAAGCCGGGCUGAGCUGCUUUACAUAGUAACACAAGUUAAGUGAAAUAGAAGAAUAGCAAAACCAAAGCCAAACACACUCUGAAAUUGAUACUAACUUUGAAACUUUCAGAAACACAUUAAAUUUAACAUUGAUGUCUUUAUUAACAUAAAGCACAACAAAGAAUCUGGUUAACUUGAUAUUAAGCAAAAAUGUGGACUUUCAACUUAUUUUGAGACAUUAGAAUGUUCAUCUUUCAGGGGUCAGGGGAAGAGAAAAUGGUUGCAUUUUGACAAAUCAAUAAUAAACUUGGUCAAUCCAAUACUGUGUACAUAAAAUUAAUUUUUGCACAAUAUACCCCUUCUUGCUCUCUUAUCCCAUCCUGUUUUAACUGACACCAAGACAGGAAUAAAGCUCAACAAAACUCAGUUAAUAAAAAUAUACAUCUACUUUCUUAGCUUC
rnacentral:lncRNA from 1 species